CUAAUGUUUCACCCUCACAGUGCUUCUGCAAGAACUUGCGCAAACCCUUGGUAGGCUUGCUGUCAAUAAUGAGGGUUGCAGCAGAAAGGGCAUCAGAUGUGUUCUCAAACUUGUUGAAAGCCUUCAGCUCAACCACCUAAAUAUAGUUGAUUUGUUUUGUCAGGAAAGAAAAUCAACUGAAAAGAACAAAAUAAAUAGCAGUAAUAGGAACAAAUGGAUAGACUCAUUGCAAUUCGGCGUAAAGUAACAUGACUUCUGUACAUGACAAUGUUCUCCACAUAAUGUCAUAAACUCAAUGUGCACAAAUUUAUUUGUCGAAUCAAUCUAUAGACAUCGGACGGACAGAAUAUGUGCACAAUAGGAGGCAAACUAAACCAUUACAUCUCUCUCCCCUGAUAACCAUAACACAUUGGAAAGGAAAUUACAGUUCAGAACAUGGUAGGAUUAGUCAGUUUUUUUUUGUUUCUCGAAAACCACUUUGCAUCUAUCAAAAUCAUAUCCCCAAUUAGCAAGGCAAAAUCAGCUAAGCUAAAACAUAUGUAGUACUCACCAACCUACAGAAGCCAUUGGUCCUUGUGCUAAUUUAACUGACUCCAUCGACAUGUGUCAAAUCAUGCAUUAACGCUCUUAAUAAACAAAAAAAAAGAGAAAAUUUUGUGCUGUAAGGAAGAAAAGCACAAACCUUUCUCGCCGAGUCAGACGUCGUGAACUCCUUCCAUAAAUCCUAAAAAAAACAACACAAAAUGCGUUAGCACGAUUAGUCCACUUAACACUCCAUAGAAAGUCAAACCAACAGCUGAAGCGGCGGCGGCGGCGGAAGACUCACCUCGACCUUGUCGAGCUUCCCCUCGUCGAGCACCUUGAAGAGGGCGAACCCCGCGGGCGUCUCGAACAGCACCAGCAUCUCUCUCACCGCCCGUGUCCCGCAACUACUAGAUAACCCCCCCCCCCCCCACCAAAUCAAAACCCCAACCUCAAACCUCCACGCUCAAACCGAGCAGCAGCAGCAGCAAAAAAAAAAAAAAAAAAAAAGGAUGGCGCGCGCAAACCUUGGGUCGAUUCGAUUCGACGACGGGAGAGGAAAGCGCGAAGCGUACGUUCCCGGCUGCGGUGAGACGGGGAUGGAGGGGAGAUGGCACCGCCGCCGCCGCCGCCGCGGCGAGGGUUUAGCGCGAGGAGUUCGGCUGCGGCGAGGCGGGGGAGAGGGGAGAGGGAGAGAGCCGGCGCCGCAAGGGUUUUAGGGCUUAGGCUUUGGGGAAAUUUAUAGUGGAGAGUAGUUGAGAACUGGGGGCCCAUCUCGCCGUUGGUUUGGUGGGGCGGAGAUCGUCAGCCGUUGGAUGGCUUAUUAGGUCGGGGACUCAGGGUUGCAAUCCGUUUGAUUAUUAUGGAGACAGCUGUAUUGCAAAAAUGGGGAACAUGUGACGGGUGGGCAAAAGUGACCACAAACAGAAAACCAGUGGAAAUGAUCGAUGCCGAAAUUUUCGGUGAGAAAUUCGACCAGGUUUUUCCACUAACUGAAACUAUUAAGGUUAAUUCGGUCAUCGCUCUCAGUUAAUUGAAUGACCGAAUUUAACCGAAAUUAGAGGGGAAAGCCUAAAUAGUAAGAGUAUCUUAGUCUUGAUGGCUUGGUCAUAAGUUGAAAGUUAAAAUUGCUAGAUUAAGAACAACGUUUUGUGUUGCCCGGUGAAACCUUUGCCGACAACUUCCUUAGCCUACCCCUUUCCAUACACAAACCAACGAAGGCAAAGAUUCAGCUAAUGAUGAACAAACUCCAAGCACUUACGGGGUGGAAACCCAAGAUGUUAUUUCGAGAUGCUCGCAUUGCGUUGAUCAAUCACUUUCUUAUGGCGCUUUCCCUCUACUUCAUGUCAGUCCUUGAGCUUCUAGCCUGGCAAUUAAGGAGAUUGAGAAGAAGUACAAAAGGUUCAUUUGGAAGGGUGAUGCAUAAGCUUUCGAUGAAACUUGCCUGGUGGCACAAGAGAAGUUAUACUUGUCGAUAGAGUGUGAUGGUCAGAGCGUCUAGAAUCUAUUGACGCAUGGGAGUCGUGUGGCACGCUAGGUGGUGUUGGAUGCGUCAAACAUUGUCCAAUCGCCCAUGGGUUGCACUAGCGUCACCGCCAAAGGUUACUCACCUUCUCGCGGCGGGGUCAAAUUUGAUCCUCAGGAAACGAAGACUUGCAUCCGUUUGGAAGGAUCGUUGGUUGCCCAAGGGCAGCUCAAUCGAGAGUUGGACACCUAUUCUCACCUCCUUUGUCAAGAAACAGGAGGCCGCACAGUGGCAUUCGUGCUCUAGGACCAUGCAUGGUUUGCUGAUAUCAAAAGCGAGUUGUCCUUUCAGGUACUCGUGGAGUGCUUCAAGGUUUCGAUAUGAACGCGGAGGUGGUGUUGGAGCCCAGCACUCUUGAUUCCCUUCCUAUGGGCAGUAACGAUAAAUGGCGAAUUCUCGGGCAAAUCGGGCUAUCCGAUGCUUUAUUGUGGGCGAACUAUGUGUGCACUGGGCAAGAUCAUCUGGAACUGGAAGGCCUGAGCCCGAAGCGAUGCAAAGUUUUCAUGUUCCUCACUAUGCGUGGAGCUUGCCUCACCACCGACAAUUUGCAGUGACACGGGUGGCAUGUCACUUGGCAAACUGCUACUUUCUCUAUGGCAGAGAGUUAGAAUCAUGUGCACACAUCUUCCACAAUUGUGAGUUUACAGCGCAUGUGUGGGAGCGGGUGUGAAGCCGUCUUGGCUUUCCUUGCCCGCCGCCUUCUCCUAACCUAUCCGAUUGGUCGAUUGAGGCAUGGAAGAAGAUUGGCAAAACAAGACCGAAUAAUCCUUCAAUACGGAUGUAAAUUCAGUAACUUGGCUCAUUUGGAAGGAGCGAAAUGCGCAUGUCUGUGAACGGAAGACCACUUCGGCUAGGGCCCUAUGCACGGCGAUUGCGGACGAGUGAAAGACAUGGGAGGUGGUUGGCCUGCUGAAGCUGGCGGACACCAGAAGGCGCUAAGGUAAGUCUAUACUUAGGUAGUGGAAGCAUGUGUUUCAACGUGAGUUGAGCUACCUAGGAGUUCACCGUUGCUGACCGCAGUUAGCCUGGUGUAAGCAUUGUAAAUGUUUUUUCUCUCCCCCUUCUUAAUAAACUUCGGCUGGUUUUUGCCUUCCUGAUAAAAAUAAACUACUACGAUCCAUCUUGGUAAAUUAGUGUGUUAUAUAUUGUUUCCUAUUAUGUUAUUUGUUUGCCAAACAAUCAUAAAAGAGGAAGGUGCUGCCAAAUUUUGUUAUGGUUUAUUUGAUUUUUCAAUUAUCACAAAUCUCAGUUAUGACCGAAAACGAACGGCUUGGUCUUGAGUUUUGCUUAACGUAUCUGGCCAAAGAAGCAGCAGCAGCCCUGAUUUCGAUAAACUUGUCUAUUUAACCAACGUGUGUAUGUCACCAGAAGAAAAUCAGUUAGGUUUUACGUACUUAUCAAAUCUAAUAACUUCCGUACGGGCAUCGACAGUUCAUGCAUGAGACGCAUCUUGAAGUAUUGGACCAGCAGCAGCGUAGUAUAUGUAGGCCGAGUUUAGUUCCAAAAUUUAUCUUCAAACUUUCAAUUUUUCCAUCACAUUAAAACUUUCCUACACACAAACUUUCAACUUUUCUAUCACAUCGUUCCAAUUUCAACCAAACUUUCAAUUUUAGCGUGAACUAAACACACCCGUAGUCGUAGUAAGAAAAUAUUAACUUCCGUACGGACAUUGACAGUUCAUGCAUGGGAUGCCUAACAUCUUGGAGUAUUGGACCAUCAGCAGUGUAAUAUACGUAGUCGUAGUAAGAAAAUAUUUAGUUACUGGUGUAAUGAUGUAGUCCACAUAAAAUGAUGCUCCCUCCGCCCUCUAAUAUAAGGGAUUUUGACAAUUCAUGCAUGGGAUACUUAACAUCCUGGAGUAUUGGACCAACAACAGCCUAGAAUACGUAGUAGUAGUAAGAAAAUAUUUAGUUAGUGGUGUAAUGAUGCCGUCCACAUAAAUGAUACUUCCUCCGUCCUCUAAUAUAAGAGAUUUUGAUAUUUUGCUUGUAUGUUUGACCAUUCAAUUUAUUCAAAAAUUUUGAAAUUAUUAUUUAUUUUUUUUGACUUACUUUAUUAUCCAAAAUACUUUAAGCACAACUUUUCGUUUUUUAUAUUUACACAUAUUUUUAAAUAAAACGACUGGUCAAACAGUACAAGCAAAAUAUCAAAAUCCGGGACGAAGGGAGUAACAUUUAGUUAGUGGUGCGCUGGUGCAAUUCCCCGUGUUUGAUUUGGUUGUCCAGAAUUGUUUUUUUUUUUUUGGGGACGGAGGGAGUACAUACAACAUGCGUAGCGUUGCUGACUUGCUGCAGGUACAGAGAUAAUCAGACAAGCAGCCAAGGCUUUCAAUCUGGUUGGCAAAGUUGAUCCAAAAGUUCCGAGUCACCCAUAGCAUCAUGCAUGCGUAGUGCUGCCUUGGCGACCAGCAACAUUGUCACCACAGCACAUACUAACAAAAAAGACAACUUCAGAAUCAGACGAAAGAGCACGAACUACUGUUGGGAAGUAAGAACCUGAAAGACAUCAACAGCAACUGCGAGAACGAGAUCUGGCCAGCCAAAAGGACAAGAAACUUUAGUUCACAUAGAAUGAGCAAAAGCAUCAUAUGCUCUCCAAUUCCAAAAUUCAGUAGGCAAUUGAAUACAAGAUCCAUGAGUAACAAGUCCAAACUUGAUGCCUAUCCUACAACUAACCGGCAUGGAAAAACUCGGAAUGUUGCAUUUUACAGAGCAGCGAUUCUUCAACCCUAUGCUACUCAAGAUAACAUGUCCUUCUCCAGUGUAUCCUUCAUUCAUCGCUAUGGUGUUUCUUCUUUUUCUUCUUCUCUUUCUUGCCAGACUCCUCGGUUUCCAUGGCAACAUCCUCGGCAUCUUGUGAAUCAGAUUUCUUCUUUUUCUUCUUCUCCUUCUUCUCACCUUCUGUAGUGGCCACUGGAGGUUCCUCGCUCUCCUUGGACGUCUUUUUCUUUUUCUUGCCACCGUCAGCAUCGGCCGCAGGAGAUUCCUCGCUCUCUUUGGACUUCUUUUUCUUCUUUUUCUUUUCACCUUCUUGGUCACCAUCCUCUUUAGUGGUCUUCUCUGCUGGUGCAGGCUCCGUCUCUUGAUGUUUCCUCUUCUUCGAAGCACCUUCAGGCUUCUUUGGAGUUUCUUCAGUGGAUUGUCCAAGUACCAGAUCAGCCGCAGGAUUGUAUGUCUGGGAUCAAGUGCAAAGCAUCAGGUUGAGAUGACUUCUGAAUAACAGAUGCUUACACAAGUAAAAAGAGUGCCUUGGUACCAAUAACAGAUGUUUGCUAAGUAUAAAAUGUUAGUAAUAUACACAAGACAUCUUUACAGUGACCGGUCAAAAUGUUAGGUAUCUAACAAAGAACAACUGCCUUGACAACUAGUAUUUUUCUUCAAGUACUGGUUAAGAAUAACACAAGACGUUAAGCUUCCUGAAAAUACUUUCAAGAGAGAAUUCGUGAUACCACCUACCUUAGCAGGAGUGAUUAAAGCCCCAGCACCCUUCUUCCGGUCCUUUUCAUACACUUCUAUCUUGGGCUUUCCUUUAGUGGAACCUGCAGACCUGCCAAGUUCUUUACCCUCGAGAACACGAAGCCGCGUCUCAAGCUGUCCAAAUGGAUCACAUGUCAAUCUCAAUGGGUCAGAAAAUAUUAUGGACAAAGGAAAUGUAUUUCCACAAAGUAAAUACCUUGACUCGACUCUCUAGACCAAUGGAGUUGUCUUCACCAUCACCAAGGGCAUCAUACCGAAUGGCAAGAGCAGUUUUUGCUGCAAGAGAACGAGAAAUCUUUCCCUUGUGCUUUGGAGCUGCUUGACCAAUUAGGGAUGCAUGGUAAAUGAGACCAUACUUCGGCGUAGCAUGUUUUGUCUUGAGAGCUCUGAACAAAGCCUGAAAAAAGAAAAACAGAUGUCAGCACAACACAGAAAAAUUGAGUUGUUUGAAUCAAACUUACCUCCCAGACUUAGACAGAAAUAUAAGGAGAUGAAAAAAAGGAAAGUUACACAAAACAACAAUCAAGCAUCCCUUCCCCAUGUGCCUAGAGAACCCAUCAUCCAAGGGACAAUUUUGCAUAAACUACAAAGAGUGGAAAAUAAUUAAAGAGUUCAAGGUUCACAAAUAGCAACUGACCUUCUCUGCACCAAGUAUCUGAAUUGUGCUGCCCGGCUGCUUGGCCAGAUUUACCAAACUGCCACCGUGUGCAAUAAGUCGAGCACCAACCAAUUCGCCCACAAGUGCAGUCAAAUUUGGUGCGAUAGUGUUCAUCCUGCUUCUCAGAUAAUCAAACAGCUGGGCUCUGUACUCAGAAAGAGCCAACACCUGAUCACACAGCUCCCUGAUAUUUAGCAAAUCAAGUUCACUAACUUCUGUUCCCAUGGAUAUUACUGCCGCCUCUUUUAACUGUGCUUCAACCUCAUCAUCUGAGAGUAUCUGGAAAAAAGCAUUUGCUUCAUAUUCAAGAACCAGUUGUGGUGUAUAGUCAUGGCCGUUAAAUUCAGAUCAGGUAUGUCCAGAAUUUACCUCAGAGAAAUCAAGGCUUUCUGCGUUAGUCCGAUCACCCAUCAUCUUCACAACUUUUGCGUACUGUAUGUUAUCAGCUACAAUUUUAGUGAGCUCUGGGAAGUGCCACCCAUACCAUUCACGAACCCUCAUGGCGUAAGUGUUGAGCUCCUUAUCAAGAUCAUCCAAUAAUCCAAUGGCCUGAAUGAUCAUAGUAUCAACCUGUAUAACCAGAAACAAUUUACCUCAGUUAGCUUGUCAGGAUGGGGUCAUGUACAAAUAAAAACAGUAACGUUAACCUCAGUCCAUCACAAUGCUGAAGUGCUAGACUAAUUAAUUGCAAAUGGAAGUUAAAUGUAAAGUUAACAGAAGCAUGGCAUUGAAAAAUCUAGUUUGGAAACUAACAAAAGAUAAUGAUGUUGAUUCAUAUGACUCAGAGCCAGGAAGAAGCACUGGAUAGCGUGAUCAAUAAAUAUGAAUAGUGGAAUAAAUAAAAGACUAACCUUUUCAGGACUGAACUUCAGCUUAUAUCUAGACAGGCUGUGGGACAAUCCAAGGCUCAUUGGACCAAGGUCUUGUGCACCCAAACCAGAUAUAAGUUCAGUGAGCUGGUUCCUUAACCCUCUCAUGAGCUCCAUCACAGCACUGUUAUGAAGGCAAUCAAUUUUCUGCAAAAGCACGUCAAAUUAUAAGCAUGAUUGUUUGUUCAACAUAAACAAAGCAACCAAGGAACCUACUAACCAGCUUCUCCUUUAUAGCAUUUCCAAGUUUAGAGUCAGCUACAGCUAACGUUUCACCCUCACAGUGCUUCUGCAAGAAUUUGCGCAAACCCUUGGUAGGCUUGCUGUCAAUAAUGAGGGUUGCAGCUGAAAGGGCAUCGGAGGUGUUCUCAAACUUGUUGAAAGCCUUCAGCUCGACCACCUGAAUAUAGUUAAUUUGUUUGGUCAGGAAAGAAAAUCAACUCAAAAUAAUAAAAUAAACAGUAGUAAGAGGAAGAUAUGGAGAUGCUCAUCACAAUUCAAAGUAGAAAAGUAACACAGCUUAUGUAUAUAAUACUGUUCUCCACACCAUGUCAUUCCAAUGUGCAUCAGGGCAUUUAUAUUAUAGGAGACUGAACUAACCAUUACCCUCUUCUCUCACCAUACAAAUUACACAUCCAAAACAAAACUGCGGUUCAGAGCAUCAGAGAAUUAUUACUCAGUUGUAUUUUUUUAUUCCUGAAAAUCACUUUGCUUCUCUCAAAGUCACAAAACCCCAAAAAGAAAGAAGGUUGUAAUCACCUAUGUUGAAUCAACCUACUGAAGCCAUGGGUCCUGGCUUAUUUAACUCCAUAAAUAUGAGAUAUCUUGUGCAAUAACGAGAUUAUUAAAUAAAAAAAGAAGAAGAAUAUUUUGUCCUGGG
rnacentral:lncRNA from 1 species